rnacentral:rRNA from 1 species
UACGUAGGGUGCGAGCGUUAAUCGGAAUUACUGGGCGUAAAGCGUGCGCAGGCGGUGACCCAAGUCAGAUGUGAAAAUCCCCCGGGCUCAACCUGGGGAACUGCAUUUGAGACUGCAAAGCUAGAGUGUGGGCAGAGGGGGGUGGAAUUCCACGUGUAGCAGUGAAAUGCGUAGAGAUGUGGAGGAACACCGAUGGCGAACGGCAGCCCCCCUGGGCCAAUACUGACGCUCAUAGC